rnacentral:antisense_RNA from 1 species
UUCUAUGGCGGCCAGGUAGGGGAGCUAAUGCGUAAGCAAAGGCUCGCCGAUGCUUGGAGGUCGGUCUGCUAACCCUACUUUGGUCCGCCACCUUU